rnacentral:rRNA from 1 species
CACGUAGGGCGCAAGCGUUGUCCGGAAUUAUUGGGCGUAAAGAGCUCGUAGGCGGUCUGUCGCGUCGGCUGUGAAAUCCCGGAGCUCAACUCCGGGCCUGCAGUCGAUACGGGCAGACGUGGAGUUCGGCAGGGGAGACUGGAAUUCCUGGUGUAGCGGUGAAAUGCGCAGAUAUCAGGAGGAACACCGGUGGCGAAGGCGGUUCUCUGGGAAUGUCCUGACGCUGAGGAGCGAAAGUGUGGGGGAGGCGAAACAGG